rnacentral:misc_RNA from 1 species
AUGCAUCCGGCUUAAGAAAACUUCAGACACGUCGAUUCAGUGGGAAAAACGCGAGGUCUUUAUGUAACCGGUUCGGACACGUGAAGUUUAAGAAGCUCCCAUAUCCGAACGAUACGAAUAAAAGCGUCUAGGGUCUAAUGGUGUCAGAUGGUGUGUUUCGCCGUUGUGCCCUGAAAAGGCGAGCAACACACGUGUUUCACGCGGGUAAGACAUUCGGUGGAUCAUUUGAGCCAUUCAAAGGACAAGUUCAUUAAUUCAUAAAUGUUAAUUACAUCUUGCCGAAGGAAACUGUAUUUCGGAUGUUUAGUAGUCCUACUGUAAAUUUUACCAGAAUAGCGUAUAAUUUCCUACAAAUCGAACGAUUAACCUUGACAAAGUCAGCCACUUCAGCUUCUGUGCGUGUCCCAUUUACUAAAUAUAUACUCUAUACUACCAUCGAAAUACAUAAAAUUUAAUGAAAUCCAUCCAUGAUUUCACAACUACCAAACAUUUGCCGCAACCAAUCAAGCGUGCCUAUACUGUUGAAUGGGGGUGUAAAUAAGAGAGAUUAAAACCAUCAUGUUCUCACCCAAGAAACACUAUCACAGAAGAGAUAAAUACUAAAAGAUCGUUGAAAGCACCAUUCGAGGAUGCCAAUCGGCGCGUAAACACGAUCGAGAGUGAUCAAGCAGUUUUUCACGCGAGAUCGUUGGAUUUAUCGAUGAUCGGCGAGCGUCGACGAGGACGCGGUUGCAACGUUUGACGUUAAUCGAUGGAAACUUUAUAGCCAGGCGAUAUAUUAGCGGAGAAGGCAGGUGUUGGUGUCGAUCGGUCGGCGAAACCGUGUGGUAGCGGUUCGCCGGCAAAAAUUCCAGAGGUCCGGGACCGGUUCCUCCCAAAAAAUUGGCGCCGAGCGGACCAUGUUUCGGGUCAAAGAACGACCUUGCCUCUCCGUGCCCCGUUCGUCGCUCGUGUGUGUUCCCCACGUACUUUUUCGCGUCCUCGUGCCCCACCGCCGUAAUACAUCGUGGUUUCGCAUCGCCACCUCGACGCCAGUGGCGUAAUA